AUCCCUGAAGUGACCUCUCUCCCUUCUAUCCCUAAAGUGAACUCUCGUCCUUCUAUCCCUAAAGUAACUUCUAUCCCUAAGGUGACCUCUCUUCCUUCUAUCCCUAAAGUGACCUCUCUUCCUUCUAUCCCUAAAGUGACCUCUCUUCCUUCUAUCCCUAGGCGACCUCUCUUCCUUCUAUCCCUAAAGUGACCUCUCGUCUUUCUAUCCCUAAAGUAACUUCUAUGCCUAAGGUGACCUCUCUUCCUUCUAUCCCUAAAGUGACCUCUCUUCCUUCUAUCCCUAAGGUGACCUCUCUUCCUUCUAUCCCAGAGUGACCAAUAAGAUUUGAUUUGUAUGCAUGUUAGGCUAUACACCAGUUAUUUAUGCAGAUUAAUGUGCUUCAUUUUAAAGAGUUAUUUGGCCACUUUAGUGCAGUUCAAGAAGAGUUAAGAAAGUAUUUACCAAAUAAGCUUAAGUAAAAAAUUGUUUUUUUAAAUUACACAAUAAAAUACCAAUAACG
ensembl:lncRNA